CCACGCCCGCACGAUCCAUCGCCCGCACGCCGCCCUCGACGACCCCCCGCACGAUGCCCUCGACGACCUAGCCAACCCUCCUUAGAGAGAAUUCUACCAUCUGGGAGGCUUGCGCAAUCAUGGGAGUGAAGACUGGUGUGGGAGACUGCUUACAGAGGAUAAAUUGGUGAAGUUUGGUGUGCUACAGGAGAGUGUUUGUGCUUUGUGCAAUCAUGGGAGCGAAGGAGUUGAUCAUAUGUGCCCCUUUUUGUGCUUGUUUAAAAGAAGAUCUUGGUGUGGUUGAGGAUACAAAGGGAUCCUAUGGCUUGGGAGCAGGAGAUUUCUUUGUUGGGUCAAUGGAGGAGGACAAAAUCCACGAAGUUGAAGAUUCUGUUAUUAGUUGAUCUUUGGGGUGAAAGAAAUUACAGUCUCAAAGUACAGAGGACACUCCUGUAGAGCUUAACCGCAUGACCAGAGAUGAGUGGAUGGAAGUUGUCGACGGAAAGGAAGAGUGCUUCUGCCAAGUGCUACAGUUAAGCGACCAUGUCGCACGUCAUACGUCGUGGGCUAGAGGAGGUACCGCCAUAGGAAGCUGCAGUACAGUACGACAUUCUGAUGCAGCCGCCACCAAUGAUAGGAAUUACGACGAUAUGGACCACGACUAUGAUGAGUGAGUGGUGAGUUAGACUUUUUUGUUAUUUUUGUGGACUUUUGGAUUGUGUUGAACAUAUUAUGACCUCCAGAUUAUAUAUAUGUGUGAAUUGAUGAAUGAUGAAUGUUAAUAUUGUUGGAUGUGAAUCGAUGAAUGUAAAUAUGAAUAUUGUUGGAUAUUGUUGGAUGUGAAUCGAUUAAUGUGAA